AGUACACAGGAAGUCGGCCAGAGAAACAUUUCUCAUAUUUGAAGGCCGGAAAGAGGGACAUUUCUGACACCGGAAGUCAGUGAGAGGACUCUUUCCCACACAGGAAGUCAGCUAGAGAGCCGUCUCCCCUCUCUGGAGCCGAGAGAGGCCGGUUUCCCCCACCGUAGCCCACCUGGGAGGAAUUUUCCAGAGAUCACUGUCUGAUGACCCUGUCUUGGAAUUGGAGCCAUGCAAGUUACACUGACCACGUUUGGGUUGGGAUAUUGAGGAGGUUAUGGUUAAAAGCAUACGAUGGGAGAUCAUAUUGUACUUGCGAGUGAGACCCGGCUGGAGGAAUGUUUUAAUUCUUCGGAAAUACCAAGUGGUCUCUAGAUGGGUUUUCACUAUUUUUCCCAGGCUAGUCUCCAACUUCUGGGCUCAAGCGAUCCACCCGCCUUGGCCUCCUAAGUCCUAGGAUUAUAGGUAUGAGCCACUGCGCCUGGCCUUUUUGCCUUUUGAAAGUAUCUGUUGUUAACAAUAUUCAAUUGGGUUGAAUCUUGCUAGGGACCAAGGUGAAUUUGCAUAAAUUAGUCUAUGCCAAUUUGCAUACUAUCAGCAAAUUUGUAGUGUACAGAAUUUUGGAAAUAGAAGGAAGCUAAGAGGGGUGUCAAAUGCAGCUUCUUCUUUUUUUACCUGAAAAGAUACCAAAGUCCAGCUCAGGGAAGGUCACACAGCUAAUUCUUAUCAUGGGGAGACAGACCCAGGGACAUCAUGGUGCCUCCGAGAUUAGUACGGCCCCUCAAACAUCCCCAUUUUCUGUCCCUAGCCCAUUGGAACCCCUUAAAGUUGGUCCCUCGAGCUCGGGUGAUAGCACACAUGAUGGAAAGUAGGCAGGCUUGCCAUUGAAGCUCCAACCUAGCUCUGCACCACAUCAGCUGUGUGACCUUGAGCAAAUCACUUAACCACUCUGAGCAUGGCAUUUGUAAAUGUCAAGGUAGCAACGCCCUCUUUACUGCCCUGUUGUGACAAAUAAGAUAUAUUCCAUAAAUAUGAUCCAUGUAGUAUUAAACUACCAUUUACUGAGUCUCCCCUAUGGAAAGCACUUAGUAGGUGCUCAAAAACUCCUAGUCCUUUCUUCCCCUCUUUCAAUGUGUCACUGCAUCUGGGUAAUUUAUACCCAUUUCCUGUUUUCCUUUGAGAAGUGCAUGUCAUGCUCUGCACAAAAGUGACUCUUAAUGGUGGCAUUUCAAGCAUCAUGGCAGAGUGCUGAGACGCUGAUGAAGAUAUUUUAGGCUGGGGUGCAUGGGGAGCACUCUCAGGGCCUCUCAUGCGCAUCCUGAGCCCUUCCUGUGAACCAGACUGACCCUGGCUUCUGUGCCAUUUUCAUUCCAGCCAAGAAUGUUCUGAAAUGAAGCCAAUAUCUGAAGGAUCUAGGAUGCCUGUUCCCCUCUCUUAUGCUGUCUCGGGGGAUGAUUUAGCCACCAAGAAUUUUCCUUAUGGUUGCAAGAUGAUUAAAAAAAACCACACACUCAGAUGCUUUUCGGAGGUUGACAUUUUUCACAGCCCCUCUUCCUCCUCCAUAGAUUUCCUGGAGGUUCCAUCCAGCUCUGGCUCUAGCUGGCUCCUUGACUCUGGACAAGUCACUUCAUCUCUCCAAGCCUUGUCUAUAAAGUAGGGAUAAUACUCCUUCCCACUUCAGAGAGUCAUUCGGGGAUUAAACUGUGACAUGUAUGUAGCCAAGGGUCCAGCACACACUGACAACUCACCAAAUAUUAGCCAUCACUCCAAACUAAGAAGGCAGGAUUCCGGCUGGGCACGGUGGCUCACGCCUGUAAUCCCAGCACUUUGGAAGGCUGACGCAGGUGGAUCAUGAGGUCAAGAGAUUGAGACCAUCCUGGCCAACAUGGUGAAACCCCGUCUCUACUAAAAAUACAAAAAUUAGCUGGGCGUGGUGGUGCGUGCCUGUAGUCCCAGUUACAGGCUGGGAGGCUGAGGCAGGAGAAUCACUUGAACCUGGGAGGCGGAGGUUUCAGUGAGCCAAGAUUGUGCCAUUGCACUCCAGCCUGGCGACAGAGUGAGACAGAGUGAGACUCCGUUAAAAAAAUAAUAAUAAUAAAUAAGAAAAGAAGGCAAGAUUCCAUUAACUUCCAGAAGGUAGACUGUCUUAAAUAUUGGGCAAUUCCCUUUCCUCCUCUCGGCCUCAGCUUUCCCAUCUGAAAAAUGGGAGUAGGACAAGGGAACUGGAUCGCAGGCAUUGACAUAACUUUCUGUGGUUAUUAAAUAGGGCCCCACAAAGACAGUGUCGGGGACCAAGGAGCUCAGGCCGCCUGCCCCACCUUUGCCACCUGCAAGACUGUAUACUCCAGCCAGUAAGGACCUCACUGUUCUCACUCACUAGUGUGUCCUCAGUCCCAGCCCAGGGACUCUGGCUAGGGGCUGACACUUAAUAAAUCCAUGUGAAUGGAUGCAGGAACUCUGCUCCGAUCUGUUCUAUCUGCUUAGUUUUUGCAUACAAUUUUGUUUGAACAAAGAACCACGUGGUUUAUCUAUCAGUCAGGGCUCAGCAGGAAACACAUGGCACAUAUAUAAUUGGGAUAAUUUGAGGAGAGUUUAGUAAAGGAAUUGUUUACAAAGGUGUGGGCAGGGUGUAGGGAACCCACACAGGAGGGUAUAACUGGGGUCUAGUGUCAGCGGGCGCCAUCAUCAUUCCUAGGCCAGAUGAGGGAAGGUUAAGAGUUAAUGGCCGGGCGCAGUGGCUCAAGCCUGUAAUCCCAGCACUUUGGGAGGUCGAGGAGGGCGGAUCACAAAGUCAGGAGAUCGAGACCAUCCUGGCUAACAUGGUGAAACCCCGUCUCUACCAAAAAUACAAAAAAUUAGCCGGGCAUGGUGGCGGGCGCCUGUAGUCCCAGCUACUCGGGAGGCUGAGGCAGGAGAAUGGCGUGAACCCGGGAGGCGGAGCUUGCAGUGAGCCGAGAUCGCGCCACUGCACUUCAGCCCGUGUGACAGAGCGAGACUCCGUCUCAGAGAAAAAAAAAAAAAAAAAAAAGAGUUAAGGGGAGAAGGUGACGAGGUAGACAAGAUCCUUGGCUGAGACCUUCAGUGAAGGGAUGCAGCCAAUCCUCAGAGACCCUGGCAGGCAGGAGCAGGGGGAAUAAGUACGCUGACUCCAUCUCCCCUUCCCCUGAUUUCCUUCUGGGCCUCCAGUUGGCAGAACCAAAUCGGAAGGCGGAGGGCAAGACAGUCCAUUGAAGUCCACAUGGGGAGAAGGGUGGAGAGGCAAUGUGGGGGUUGCGGGGAGCACCAAAAGAAGAUGCCCGACAGAGAUGGCUAGCACCCCCGCCCCCACCGCACAACACACUCACGACACACUCACGACACACUCACGACACACUCACGACACACUCACAACACAGGACCAGAGAGCAGAUCUCUACUUUCUAAGGAUCUUUUCAGGUCUGACCUGCAGAUUCUUCCAUUUUAAAUCAAGGCUAAAAUAUAUUGAGGCUUACUGAGGUCUAGUGGCAGCUCGGAGUUAUCAGUGGGUUGGGUAGUGCUUGCUGCUCUGGAACUAAUGGCACAAUUUUAUUGCAUUUAGGUCAAAUUGUGCCUCAAUUCCAAUGUCGUAUUUUUGGGUCAUGGGUCUCCUCUCUCUUUCUUUUCUAAAUGUGCCCGAGUAUUCCUCCUGGUCCUUUGGGAUGCUGACAGAGGAGCAGAUAUGCAGCAUCUCUGCCAUGAUAUAAGGGCUGCUGCAGUGCACAACUGUCUCCCAAGAAGGUACCGCAGGGGUGUAAAACUUCUCCCUGCAUUGUCAACGCUGGUCUCCAUGGAUGUCUGCUGGCUUUUUCAAAAAUUCUUGUAGAACAGUGCUUCUCAUAUGGUGAUUUUGUCCCCCUUGCCCCAGGGGGACCUUUGGCCAUGUCUUGAGAUGUUUUUGGUUGCCGUGAUUGAGGAGGUGCUACCAGCGUCUGCUGGGCAGAGACCAGGGAUGCUGCUCCACAUCCCACAAUGCACAGGACAAUCUUCUCUACAGCAAUGAAUUAUCCAGUUCACAAUCUCAAUAGCACCAAUAUUGAGAAACCCUGUUGAAGAUGGAGACUAUCCACGGGGCAUUGAUCUUGGGGUCUCCCCCUUCCUGAAUACUUGAAGUCCCUCGGCAGACUCUUGGAUACCUCCAGCAAUGGGGAGCUCACCACCUGUUUUGAAGCCAGGCAGGUUUGGGCUCUUCUUGUAGCUGUGUGACUCUGGAUUUUCCCAUAGGUGGGAGUGGAUCCACCACCUUGAGCUUCAGUUUCCUCCAGUGCCAUGGGAUUAGCAGCAGCCCUGCCUCACAGAUUGCGUGAGGAUGAAAUGAGAUGAUGCUCCUGAGUUGGCUGGUGCAGUGCACGGUACACAGAGAGUGCUCAAUAAAUGUUCCCUGCUGUGAAUG
rnacentral:lncRNA from 1 species